rnacentral:rRNA from 1 species
GAUGAACGCUAGCGGGAGGCUUAAUACAUGCAAGUCGAGGGGCAGCAGGCCGACUUCGGUUGGUGCUGGCGACCGGCGCACGGGUGAGUAACGCGUACACAAUCUACCUUCAAGACUGGGAUAGCCCUGGGAAACUGGGAGUAAUACCGGAUGUGAUUACGGAAUAAUAAUAAUUUGUAAUUAAAGCUGCGGUGCUUGAAGAUGAGUGUGCGUCCCAUUAGCUAGUUGGUGUGGUAACGGCAUACCAAGGCUACGAUGGGUAGGGGGCGUGAGAGCGUGGACCCCCACACGGGUACUGAGACACGGACCCGACUCCUACGGGAGGCAGCAGUAAGGAAUAUUGGACAAUGGGCGCAAGCCUGAUCCAGCCAUCCCGCGUGUAGGAUGACUGCCCUAUGGGUUGUAAACUACUUUUAGAUAGGAAGAAACCCCUAGAUUUAUCUAGGGCUGACGGUACUAUCAGAAUAAGCACCGGCUAACUCCG